rnacentral:rRNA from 1 species
UAUUGCUCAAUGGGAGAAAUCCUGAAGCAGCAACGCCGCGUGGAGGAUGAAGGGUCUAUGACUUGUAAACUCCUGUAAAGAAGGAAAAAAUUCCCAUUAGAUGGGAGAUGAUGGUACUUCUGGAGUAAGCCCCGGCUAACUACGUGACAGCAGCCGCGGUAAUACGUAGGGGGCAAGCGUUGUCCGGAUUUACUGGGUGUAAAGGGUGCUCAGGCGGAUUUGUAAGUCAGAGGUGAAAUCUUACAGCUUAACUGUGAAACUGCCUUUGAUACUGCAAGCCUAGAGUAUGGAAGAGAGUGAUGGAAUAUCUGGUGUACCAGUGAAAUGCGUAGAUAUCAGAUAGGACACCAAUGGCGAAGGCAGUUAGUUGGUCCAUUACUGACGCUAAAGCACGAAAGCGUGGG